AUACUCGCAAAAUAAUUUCUUGCUAAGGAAUGUGGACACAGUAAACCAGCAUCUCUAGAACAUGGAGACAGAAUAACUAGAGUGUCUUAAUUGGAAGCACGCACUGAUACUAACCUGAUAAUAGUGGUCUUCCCCACCCCUGGGGGCCCAAUAAGUAACAGUGAAGCCCCAGCUUCAACUAAAUCUCUCAACAGGUUGGCACUUCCAGACACUGCUCGACCAACACGACAAGUCAGACCAAUAAUUGCACCUUUCCGAUUCCUAACGGCACUAAUGCGGUGCAAGGUUCUACUAAUUCCUGCUCUGUUAUCAACAGCAAAGUCACCAACCUGUAACGUAAUACCAGUAAGUAGUAAUACUUCAAUUGCGUUUCCCUUAUUUGGGGAGGAAGAAAAGAAAAUGAUCUACAACACACGAAUAAACUAAUUUUCAUCCUGUUUUUACUUCUACUACAACAGAGACCAAGUGCAAUUAUGUUGUGUUGUAUAAACUAAAAUUAGAAGAAGCAAAUAGAACAUAAAUGCCUAUGUAUUUCAUCAAUCUUUAUUCACAACUUGCUUGAGUUUUCUUAAACACUGUGUCAUCAGCUCAGUGUGACUUCAUUUUCCUUCCACAAACUAUUCCAUUAUAGAGACAUGAUUCUAAUAGCAGGGAACUCAUUUGAACAACCAAAAAUUUAUCGCAUCUUAAGAGUAAAACUGUAAUAAAUAAAAAUCUAAGUGGCAUAAAAAAUAAAAAGCCCUAAAGCAAAAAAAUUAAUUAAUUAAUUAAUGAUAAUUGUAACACUGAUGGUAAUACACGUGAAAAUGCAACAAGCAUAUUUUUGGACCCACUAUGAACAUACAUUUUGAAUAGGUUGACUAGACGAUAAUCCAAAUUAUUACUUUAUAGUUUACUAAAAGAAGUUCACCUAGAAUUAUUUAAUUCCUCACGUCAUAUCUGUAGUCAUAUGCACACUUUUGAAGGGACUGGGUUGUUCUAAUUUCAUUUUUUAACUUUGUUGACUACAUAGAAAGGUAACUGCAUUUAAUACCUUAUGUUGCACAUCGGUAUGCGGAACUUGCAUUCUCCGAGCGUUACCUACUCCAGCAUGAGGUAUAUCCCCAUCCCCACCAAUUUCAUUCGAGGUGUCAACGAUCAUCACACGCUUUUGAUAAUCAUCUGCAAGCAUACGAGCUAUGUCCCUAGGAUAUAGGAUAUGUACGUCAAACAACAAUUAGCUACUUGCUGAAAUACUCGCAAAAUAAUUUCUUGCUAAGGAAUGUGGACACAGUAAACCAGCAUCUCUAGAACAUGGAGACAGAAUAACUAGAGUGUCUUAAUUGGAAGCACGCACUGAUACUAACCUGAUAAUAGUGGUCUUCCCCACCCCUGGGGGCCCAAUAAGUAACAGUGAAGCCCCAGCUUCAACUAAAUCUCUCAACAGGUUGGCACUUCCAGACACUGCUCGACCAACACGACAAGUCAGACCAAUAAUUGCACCUUUCCGAUUCCUAACGGCACUAAUGCGGUGCAAGGUUCUACUAAUUCCUGCUCUGUUAUCAACAGCAAAGUCACCAACCUGUAACGUAAUACCAGUAAGUAGUAAUACUUCAAUUGCGUUUCCCUUAUUUGAGGAGGAAGAAAAGAAAAUGAUCUACAACACACGAAUAAACUAAUUUUCAUCCUGUUUUUACUUCUACUACAACAGAGACCAAGUGCAAUUAUGUUGUGUCCGAUUCCUAACGGCACUAAUGCGGUGCAAGGUUCUACUAAUUCCUGCUCUGUUAUCAACAGCAAAGUCACCAACCUGUAACGUAAUACCAGUAAGUAGUAAUACUUCAAUUGCGUUUCCCUUAUUUGGGGAGGAAGAAAAGAAAAUGAUCUACAACACACGAAUAAACUAAUUUUCA
rnacentral:lncRNA from 1 species